ensembl:misc_RNA Metazoa_SRP Metazoan signal recognition particle RNA
GCAGAGCAUGGUGGCGCUGUACCUGUAGUCCCAGCUACUCGAGAGGCUGAGGUGGGAGGAUCGCUUGAGCCCAGGAGUUCUGGGCUGUUGUGCGCUAUGCCAAUUGGGUGUCCGCACUAAGUUCGGCAUCAAUAUUGUGACCUCCUGGCAACGGGGACAACCAGGUUGCCUAAGGAGGGGUGAACCGGCCCAGGUUGGAAACGGAGCAGGUCAAAACUCCCGUGCUGAUCAGUAGUGGGAUGGCGCCUGUGAAUAGUCACUGCAGUCCCACCUGGGCAACAUAAGACCCCGUCUAUA